UUGCGUUAAUGGAGCGGCUGAUAUCUGAUUAGCUAGUAGGGGAGGUAAAGGCUCACCUAGGCGACGAUCAGUAGCUGGUCUGAGAGGACGACCAGCCACACUGGAACUGAGACACGGUCCAGACUCCUACGGGAGGCAGCAGUGGGGAAUUUUGGACAAUGGGCGAAAGCCUGAUCCAGCCAUUCCGCGUGAGUGAAGAAGGCCUUCGGGUUGUAAAGCUCUUUCGCAAGGGAAGAAAACUCAUCCUUUAAUAAAGGAUGAGGCUGACGGUACCUUGAUAAGAAGCACCGGCUAACUACGUGCCAGCAGCCGCGGUAAUACGUAGGGUGCGAGCGUUAAUCGGAAUUACUGGGCGUAAAGCGUGCGCAGGCGGUUUUGUAAGUCAGAUGUGAAAUCCCCG
rnacentral:rRNA from 1 species